UUCUGUUAUAUAUUGAAAACUUCAGUCUUAAUUUUUUAGUUACAUUGUUGAUAGGGCAUUAUAUAAAUAUACUUCUAUAGUCAUUGUAGGAAAUGUCUUUUAUAAGGAAAUAUUUCUUCUACCUCUGAAUUACACAGUUUUGUAUUUACUUGGACUGCAUGGCAACAUUCAAAAAACACUUUGAAUAACAGAUAAAAAUGACAUUUUCUAAAGCUCUAGGUUUGCUAGAUGCAUGAAGUCUCAGCAAAGUAUAAAUUUGUAAAUAUUUCAUUGUAAAAUAUCAUAAAUUGACUCCUUCAAGUGUUCAGUAGUACAAUAGGUAAUCAAUAAUUGGCCUCUUGGGACUGACUGUAACGUUUUGGUGUUUGUAUGUUUUGAGACAGAGCAAUAGAUUGCCUCCAUAUCUUUUAAACAUUCAGGUCUCUUGUAUAAGAAAAAUAACCAUUGUGGGGUUUUUGUGCAUCUUAUACUAAUAUGAAACAAACAAAACCCCCUGGAUAUUUUAUCCUUAGAAAGAUAGAGGAAGACAGGAGAAGGGAAUGGUCAUUGUAAAUUAGAUAGAUAUAUUGAGUGUUAGAAGAUUAUUUAAAUAAUUGUUCUUUUGUUAUUUGUACUCUUUGCAAAUUUAUUUAAAUGCAUAUUCAUGUAUAUCAUAAGUAUAUAUUCACAUGCAUGUCUAAAUUUAGUGGCAUAGAUCUAUCUCAGGGGUAUUAAUCUUUCAUUCGUGUACUGAUUUGUGUUUUAUUUUCAUUUAAAAAAUUGUGGAACCAGUGGCUGGGCAUGGUGGCUCAUGCCUGUAAUCCCAGCACUUUGGGAGGCUGCCAUUGCACUCCACCCUAGGCAACAAGAGCAAAACUCUGUAUAAAAAAAAAAAUUAAAAAAAUUGUGGAACUAGUGUUUUAUUUCUAAGCUUGCAGAUAUUUCUAGAAUUCCACUUACUGUUACAUCUAAAUGUAUGCUGAUUUUUCGUUAAAUAAUAAGCAGGUCUGUAAACAUUUUCUUUUCUAACCUCUUUCCAUAUUUAUAUGAGUAUAGAAAAACUGUGGUUAUGAAUAUUUUUUACUUUUUGAUAACUUUUAAAAACUAUCAGAUAUGUGAUAAUCAGAUAGAUUUCAAGUUUACUUACGGUGUAAAUUAGGAAAAUUUUUAUAAAGAUUCUAUCCAGUAUUGAUCAAAAGUAUAAAUUGUGUGUCUUUUUAAGCAGCAGUUUGGCAAUGACAAUCAAAUUGAUACUAUGUAAAAGUUUUGAAAUGUUAUAGCUGGCUACUGGGGUUUUUAUCUAUUCCAGUUCUCGAAAAUUUACCAAAUAUAGGUUGGCUGUAAAAUCAUAACUAUCUGAGGUAUCUGUCAAUAAAUCAAAGAUUGCAAUGAUGAUAGCUUCUUUAACAUGAAUGUAAUUCUAACAGUAAAAAAUUUCUAUAUGGAAUAUGUUUUGUAGUCCUAAAUUGAUAUUUUAUAUCAUUUUUCAGUGAACAAGUAGUUGUUUACAGGUGUCUGUGCAUAUGUCUCAAGUUUUUCUAACUAAAAUAUUAAUAGUUAAGUCUAAAAAUAUGAAUUAUACGUGGGGCUUGUCAUUCUGACAUUUAAUACUUCAGCGUGGUGAUAAUGGUGAUAUAAUAUACUGUUUGAAAUUGUAACACAUGAGUUAAAAUCAAAAGAUUGAUAAGUACAUAUUUGUAUAUUGCUACAUGACAAAAAUCUAGGAAGAAUAUGAUUCACAUGAAAAUUCUUUGGAAGGACAUGACAGACUUUUAACAGUCCUGUAUAGUGAAAGGAGAAUAGAACGACUACUUCUACUUUCUGUAUCUGAAAUUUUCAAAAGCUAUUUCAAAAUGAACAUUUAAACAACAGGAAAUUUUAGAGACAACCACUUUGUGCCUGUCUUCAUCCUUGACAUUCAACAUCCUAGGAACAAUGGGCUGUUGUAUUCAACUUCUUAUUCCCAACAGCCAUUAUGAAUGGUUUUUGAUUGAUCUCACAAAGAGCAUGUGCUUUAGACAUUAAUGCAGCGACUACCAUGAAACAGAGUAUUGGAUUACCUAAGGAAAGAAGCAGAGGAUGGAAUUUGAGGUGCAAUCAGGAUGAGUGAAAAAUUGAUUUGCAGCUGACCUGCAAAUGGAAUCAUCAGGAACAUCCCUUUCUCAUGGAGUCCCUUAAUUUACAAGUUAACUGCAAACAUAGGUGAGAUGAUAGUUCCAAGAAGGAACAUUUUAUCGUCUUUGUUUUUAAUCUCAAGAAUGGUACCUACCAUCAGUGAAUGACCUGUUGCAGUGCUUUCAUUGAAGUGUUCUUCGUUCCCUCAGCAAUAUGAUUGGUGAUGACUGAAAAAGGGAAACUGUGCCACUAUUUGUACCAUCAUUUUCACCAAAAUCUAAAAAUGCUUUUUAUGACGUAUGGAGACAUUCUUCAUGUUUGUUUCAGUGGACACUCCUUGCAGAUGUAAAAAACUGAGAAAACUCACUUUUGGAAAGUGACCUAAAGAGUGUCAUUGAAGUGAAUUUUAAGUAGGCACGAUGAUUGUUUUCAUGGUUGCUGUUGGAUCAUAUCUCAGGAGCUGGAAUGACAGACAUUAUUGAACAAAGAAAUCAGGAUAGUGGAACUUAAAGGGCUUCAUCUCAGUGCUUUCAUAAGUAUGAAGUGCAUAUAUUUAUAAUUUUCACUAAUCACAGGGUAAAUAUAAAAUUGAUUCAUUAAAAAUGUUUCAUAAGAAUUCAAAGGACAUAGAAUUUUGUGAAAUGUAGUAUUUUUACUUAAGUGCCUUUUCUCUGCUUCUACCCCACAGCCAAUUUUUUAUAAACCAGUUGAUAACAUAAGUAGUUUUUGGGGGAUGAUACAUUACUUAUACAUUUUCUAUGUAGUAAACAUGUAUGUGUAUGUGUGUGGGUGUGUGUCUAAUUACUUUGUUGGACAGAUUCCUGUGGUUUGGAACUGCUGGGGCCAAGUUUAUACAAAAAUCUACAUUUUUGAGUAAACUCCCCAUGACUCUAGUAAGUUUCCACAGUAUUUGAGUAUUCUUUAUUUCCUAAAGCAAUAUUCCCUCUGUAUACUUGCAUUUUUUUCUAUCAAUUGACGCUUACAAUUAUUUUUGCAAGUUGGAAAAAAAUGCAGUAUUAAUUUCAUUUGCAACAAAUUUAAUAGAUUAAUUAGGAGAGAAUAGAUAUCUUUAAAAUUGAGUCUUCUGUCCAACUGCAAGUUAUAGCUGAGGUGGUACCAGUUUAAGAAGUGAGAACUUCUUCACUGACUGAAAUUUGCAUAUCAAUCCAAAUCAUUGUGCUUAUUUACUAUUUUUGUAGACGUCAUUCUUCAAAAGUGCUGCAUCUUCAAUAGUCAAGGAGGACAAAGACAUCUUUCCUGCAGGUGUGGUGACCAUGUGGAUAAUAGGAUCAUAGACAAAUGGUGGUUCCAUCUACAGCAUCACCGAAAUGCUGUUGUUACUGCUUCUUUCUGGGAUCUUCUUGCAUCUUUGCUUCUAAAGGGGCACACCUUUUAUAGAAGUACGUCCAGGAAUAGAAGUGACCUGCUUUUUCGCAAGUAAUUGCCUGGAAUGUUUUUAUGUACUUCUCUGCACUCUCAAUACAUUUCAUGCUUCCCUCUAUUUUUGUAUAUUAACUCAUUGUAUUUCUUAAAUUUAUAUUUUACUUUAUGAAUGGAAGUGAGAUUUGUGUAUGGUAAAUAUAAUUAAUUCAACCCCAUGGAUACGUUAGUCACUGUCCAGAUGAUGGCAAGUCUUUCUCAGAAGCAGAGGGCCUUGGUGUGCCAGUGAUUUUUUUUCCCCAUGUGUAAGAUACUUUUUUUCCUCAUUUGAAUCAGGAGCCCACAGUUUUUAGACAAGUCCCAAAUGAAAUCUUAAGCAUUUGUGUUAUCUGGACUAGACCUUCUGUAGUAUCCUUUUUGUUAGACCUAGUAUAUCUCAUUGCAGAUCAGGAUCUGAGAUUGACUAUAGUUCACCUCUUUCCAAGUACACAAACUUGGAUGACAUGACAACUGAGUGUGUAAGGGAGAGCGAGACCCUUGCACUGCCAUUUGAGCCCUUGUGAUCUCAUCUUGUAGAACAUGUUGUACAAUCAUUUUAUUGGUAUCAUUAGUGUUAUUUGGGGCUGGAAUAAAAAUCUCAGUGCACCAAAGAGAUUUCCCCUUUAUCCACGUUACCCUGGUUUUCCUUUGUUUUCUGUUUAACCUAAACGGGCUUAAUAUAAAAUAGUGCUUAUUUGGUGUUUUAAUUGUCUGCUUCUAUAACAUAAGCUGCACUGUCCAUUGGGGAACUGCUCACCAUAUUGCCCAACCUGUCUUGAUAGGUUUAUACAUGGGAGGCAUUCAGUAAUAUUAAUUACCUCUCUAGACCAGUGUUAGCAAUAACAAACACUUGCUAGAAUUUUAAGACUAUAUAAUCAAUCACUUUGAUGUCAGUUAAUCCUACCAACACAAGAUUAAAGGUUUAAAAAUCUCAUACGUGUACAGCCAUUAGUGUCUCCUUUCAUACUAUAUUAUUUUGUUCAUUGGCAGCUAGAUUUUUAGGUAGAACUUGUGUUCCUUUUUGCAAUGCUUAAAAUAUAACUUUUCAGUCUCUUCCCCCUGGGACUCCAAUUUUUACAUAUGUAUUAGACCUAUUAAUAUUUUUCUAUGGAUACCUGACAUUCUUUUUAAAUCUUAUUUUUGGUGUUUUUCACUUUGAACAACCUAAUAAUUUGUUUCCAUCCAUGUUCACUCACUGUUUAUUCUAUUUUUUCCCAAUCUGCUCUUAAGCCUAUCCUGUGAAUUUUCUUUUUAAUUUAUUUUAUUUUUUAGUUCCAGAUAUUUUCUGCUUUUUGUUUGUUUUUGAGACAGAAUCUUUCUCUGUCACACAGGGUGGAGUGCAGUGUCAUGGUUCACCGCAGCCUUGACCUCCUGGUCUCAAGUGAUCCUCUCACCUUAACCUACCCACUCCUAAGUAGCUAGAACUACAGGUGCAUGCCACCACGCUCAGCUAAUUUUUUAUUUUUGUAGAGAUGGGGUCGUUGUGUUGCCCAAGCUGGUCUUGAACUCCCAGACUCAAGCAGUCUUCCUGCCUCGGCCUCAUGCCCGCGCCAACCAGUUCUUUAUUUUUAAUAUUAUGUUGUAUUUGAUGUGCUAUCCUAUUCAUUUAGUAUAAGCACAUUUUUCUUUAUGUCUUCAGCAUAAUUAUAUGCUUUUUCAGAAUUUUAACAUCAGGACUGCUUCCAGGGUAGCUUUAUUGCCCUUUGUCUUAAGUAUGGAUUAUAGUUUUCAUUCUUUGUAUGUCAAGUAAUUUUGGAUUGUAACUUGAACUUUGAAUAUACUGUAGAAACUCUGAAUUCUAUUUUAUUCUUCUAAAACAAUAUUUCUCAGCUUCAGCACUACUGACAUUUUGAACUGGGUCAUUUUGUUUGUGUUGUUGUGUGUAUUUUGGGAGGGUACUGUUCUAUAUGCAUUGUGGGGUACUGAGUAUUAUCCUUUGUCUCCACUCACUACUUACCAGUAGCAUAACUCUCUCUCCUCCCCACAUCCCCUGCCAAAAAAUGCCUUCAGUCCUUUCUAAGCGCUCUUUUUUAUGGUGUUGGGGCCAAAAUCAUGCAUCUUUACUCACUCUUUCUCAUUGAGAGCUAUGGCUAUAAAGGGUAGUGAUACUUUUACUUAUUUAUUUUUAAGGCAAGCAGUUAACUUAGCUGGAUUCAAACUCCAGGCUGCCUCGUGUGCUGUGGGAAGCAGCCUACGCUCUAUUCAGUUCUUUUCUUUUCAUAUUGGUUGGGUUACUUUGAGUCUGGCCUACAUGAUGGGCAGUUUAGAGGUCAACCAAAGGAUUUCAGCAGAACUUAUACACAGAAUUUCAUUCAGGCUUCCCGUGUCUGAUUGGCUACAGUGUGGGAAUUUCCUCCCACUUUUCAGCCACUACUGAGGAUGCCUUUCGGCAAAAUUCCUUGAAAUUGGAAACUUACAGGGAAAUUCCUUUCCUCCAAGAGUGCGCUCUCCUCCAGUGUUGGCUUGCUUUUGGUUGUUCUCCGUGGUUUUAGAUAGCUGUCUUUAUAUUAAUUCUGGAGUUUACAGUUGAUAUCUGUUGGGGGCUUAGUUUGAUAACAUGUAUUCUUCUAUUACUAGUAGCCAGACCUGUAUGUCUUACUUGACCUGAUGGAGAAAAGUUUCAACUUAUGAGACAAUACUGUGCUAGCUAGUUUUACUGAUUUGUACUCUAAAGUACCCAAGCCUAAAAUAGUAGAGCUGUCUAUCCCACAUGAAACUUCUCUGAUUUUCACUGUUUUUUAUAAAAAGUAUACAUGUUCACAUUUCUGUAGGUUUUUUUAAGCAUCACAAUUUUUAUAAACUUUCUAUAUUUCCAAGGUCUACCUGCUUUGUAUUUUGCCUAGUGAGAGUUUUGUAUUCAUGUAGGAAUAAUCUCUUGGUGUGAGUAUCUAUUUUCCACUCAUCCAAAACAGAUAGAGCAUUGAUUUCACUAAGCGUUAUGUUCUAGUUUGCUUUGGUAUUAUUAUUAGAAAUACCUGGUGAUUAAUUUGAGCUAAGUAUUCUUCUCUACCCUCAUUCCCAGCAUUAUCACCCGCUUUUACCACUUCCAAGGGGUGGAAGCAUUCUCCACAAUGCAUUUUUUCAUGCCAGAGAAAAAUCUAGAAAAAAAUGAAUAAAACGAAGAAAUUCUUUCCCCUUGGUAUCUGUAGCUAACUUGCCUAAGUGUUCUUUCCCACAGUUUAAGUCUUCAGUCCAUAGUUCAUAAGCAAAGGGGUGUAGCGAGCUCUGAUCUUGCCAGAAGAGAGAAUAAGUGAGCUACCCCACGGUGGACAUUCUGGCCAUCUGAAAUGAGUCGAUGCAUGUGGCUUUUGUCUAAAGGCUACAAAUAAAAUGUAACCACUUUCUUCUUUGAGUAGUUGAUAUAGCAAAUAGUUGAAACAGAAGUUUUGAUUGGCAAAUCAGGAUGUGGUAGAUACUUUAACAAAGAGUAGAACUAUUACCAGUUUUAUGUGUUGCUGUUUGUAUCUCUUUCACAGUUUUGAUAAUAUCACAUCCUGGAAAGUGAAACAGAAAAUUAUUAUUCCAUUUUAAAUGACUAAAUUUGCUUUCAUGGUAUUUACAGUGAAAGAGUAAAUUAGAAAGUGAAUGGAUGACUGUUCAUGAGAAAAAGCAGGGUAAAAAGAUUUUAUUUAAUUAAUUGAAAAUAUUAGGGUCAAAACAUAGGCUUAUGUUAUGUUUUGUGAAUUGUGCUGUGUUGUAGACAUUUGAUGAGUCCUAACAUAGAAUUGAUCUAGCUCUUGAAAUACCAUUUUUGAUUGAGUAUAAAUGGGAUAUAGGCACCUUACAACUUCAGAAUUCGAGGAAGAUGAUGUGAAUCUUCCAAUUUUAUCUAUUUGAUUCAAAUGGUAUGUUUUUUCACAUUUCUCAUAAUUUCCACGUCAACUCCCAUGAUGAUCAUGCAGGAAAGCAGCAUGAUUGCACUUCUUGUAGUGCAUACCAUCACUAAAACAUAGUUACUGUCUUUCUGUGGUCUUAAGAAAAAUUCAGAAACAGCAUACCAAUGUACAUAUAAGAUAAAUAAGCUUAUGUGGUACAGUAAGUGUUCUGUUCUGAGAAAUACCUUGAUUCGUAUCCUAAUGUCUGAUGUUAUUGGUAGUUCUCAAACUUCCCCAAUUCUGCUUUCAUCUAAAUUCAUCUUAUCUAUCUAUUGUUAAAUAAUCUAUCAGUCCAUUUUUAUCUAUCAUCUAUAUAUCUGUCUUUAUCAAUCAUUCGUCUGUAAUCUAUCUGUGCCGUUUGGCAUAAGAGACAGAAGGGCAUAGCAGUGGAAACUCAAAGGAGUUACCUCCAUGUGAAUGGACAGUGGUGAUGGUGAUCUGUGAGGUGGUGAUGUAUAGAAAGAAAAACUAGAAGAGAGCAUGCCCUAACUCAGGGACCUUGUCCAGCAGGCACUCUGGCCUUGUUAUACUGUGCUUGAAUAUGAAAAAAAAAAAAAUCAAAAUAGUGCUGACAUUCUUUGUCUUCUGGGUCUGAGAAAACUUAGAGUAGAUAUGAUGACUCUGCCAUUUCAGUCUUUUGUAUUUCCACAUUUAGAGCUCAGUUUUAAUUAUGUAGAAUUAUUUCUCCAGCCUGUGUUAAACUAGACCAUGGAUUGGCAAACUUUUUUUGUAAAUUGCCAAAUACACAUUUUCAGUUCUGAAAGCCUUGUGGUCUUUGUUGCAGCUAAUCUACUCUGCUGUUGUGUUAUGAAAGCAGCCAUAGGUAAUUUAUAAUUGAAUGAGUGCGCUGUGCCUUUCUUCCAAUAAAACUUUACAAAAGCAUCCUGUGGGCUGGAGUUUACCCUUUGGGAAACCAGAGCAUUGGCUAAACUGGAACCUGAAAAAAUAAUCACAUCAACUCAGCCACAUGGUAAUAAUAUUUAGAGUAUUAUUUCAACAUUUUCAUUUUCAUAAAAAUUUUUUUAGCUCUUUUGCCAAAUUCCAUCUGUGAGUGAUACAAAUGACUACCACGUGCCAUUAACAUCACCUAAACAGUGCAAAACAAGCAUAGUAGAAGUAAUUGGAAUGAUAUAAACCCCUUGCUGUAAUAGUUAUAGUUGAUAAAUUAUGUUUCAAAAUUGAACCUAUUUCUUCCAAAUUUCAUCUAUAAAGUUCCAAGGAGUUCCAAAAUCUUGCCUGCCUUCUUUUCCCAGUUAGCAGUAUUGUCUCUGAGCAGCCAUGGUGGUAUCCAUCCUCCUUGGACAAUGAAUUUAGCCUAUUUUGACUUCAUUUGAGCAGUUGUAAUUGUUUCACCACAUCAGAGUAAGAUUACUACAUGCCAGAGCUAUUCUUUAACUCAGCUUGUAAAAACAUGAUAGCAUCAACAAUAUACAUAGCAAAUGAAUGCCAUCUUUAAUCCAAUUAAAUGGUUUUUACAAAUUUGCUCUUGUUUGUUGAUGCUAUCUGCAUUGCAGUAAUUAAAGGUGAGGUAAAAAGAAUGAAUAAACUGCCAAGUUAAAAUUAAAUUUGGGCAAUUUCUCUUUUGCAGUAAUGUAUGUAUAUUUACUCAAAACAUAUGCCAAAUUUAGUGUUGAAAGGCUCAUUCAAAUCAAUUGGGAAAGCACGUAAAUGAACAAUUCAUAAAAGAAAAGCAUUGCAAAUGGCCAAGAGCAUAGAAAAUGUGCUCAAUCUUACCAGUCAUUAUAAGGAAAUAAUGAAAUUUGUGUAUAUAUGAAAUACUUAAAAUAUAUAUAAAAUAAAACAAUUAUUUGCCUUUUUUCACCUAUCAGAUUAACAGAUUAUAUGUGUUAACAAGGUGGGGAGAAUUUACAACUCCUGAUAUGUUAAAAUCUUUCAGGAAGGUAGUAGAAAAUAUAUGUAAGAUGGAAAUUAGCACUUUUGACCAACAAUUUUAGUUUUAGAUAUUUACCUAUAAGGAUAUAAUAGGAGGUGUUCAAAGAUGCAUGUAACUCAAUGUAGUAUUAAUUAUAAUUGUAAAAUAGUAAAUAACAUUUUUGUCAAAUCAUAAUGUUAGGAAAAUUAGUGAUGGCACAUUUAACCAAUUGAAUUAUAUUCAGUUCUGAAUACCGUGAUGCAUGUUCAAAUUAAUUGAUACAAAAAUCCAACAACUUUAGCAGUUUGUUUACCAGUUAUUGAGUACCAACUGUGUUCAACAUUGUUAUUUCACUCAUAUGAAAUGAUAAAUGUAUGUGCGUGUUAUGAUACGGUCAAUAAAACCACUUUUAUAGGAAGAAUACUCACAAUUUUGACUAUUUGUCAUGUAAGGAAUGCACAGUGCCAUUCUAACUGUGUAUAUUCUGGUAUUUGGGGGGUUGGAAAUUGACUAUAUGAGAUUCUUGCAGCUGGGUCUCUGACAUGUUGAGAAUGCUGAAGAAGAAAAAGUACAGAAGGAGAAAGCAGAGAUGGGGAAAGCUGCAUCCCUCAAAUAGGAUACCACUGGAUACUGAGCAGUGAACAACCUCUGGUUUUGUCGGACACCAUUUUGGAAUAUUUGGACACAGUUUCCGGAAGGAUGAGAGACCUAAUCAAUGGAACUCUCCAAUACUGAAUUCAGGCUGGGAUAUUAGAGAAAAGGAAAAUACAUGAAACUCAGUGGUGUUUUAUGGCACUUUGAGUUCCCCAAUUCACCUUCAAACAUUUAGCCUUCCAAGUUCUCUGCCACCGUAUCAGUGCAUCCCUCCUGAGAUUCUUAAUUCUUUGAUUGUGUAAAGAUGGACUAUGCUUACUCCAUCUUACUUCUCUUAGGUCUUACAAUGGAAGUGCCCUAUUACAUUUUGUUCUUUUCUAUGAUAUUGAAGUAGAUUCCUAAAGUUUUUAUCUCUUCUAGAAUAUUGGUUUCACAACACCCCUAUUAUGUGUAUUUAAUUUUACCCACCACAUGGCGUUUUCAAAAAGUCUUUAUUUGGCGGAAUACAACUUCAGAAUCUGAUUCGAAGAGAAAAUUGCUCACAGCCGUGAGCCACUGUGCCUGGCCGAUUUUUACUAUUUAAAGAAGGAAGAAUUUUAGCAGCGUGGGGUGGCUCAUGCCUGUAAUCCCAGCACUUUGGGAGGCUGAGGUGGGCGGAUCACUUGAGGCCAGUAGUUCAAGAACAGCCUGGCCAACAUGACGAAACCCCAUCUCUACUAAAAAUACAAAAAUUAGCCAGGCGUGGUGGCACGUGCCUGUAGUCCCAGCUACUCGAAGGCUUAGGCAGGAGAAUCGCUUGAAUCAGAGACAGGGAGGCUGCAAUGAGCCGAGAUUGCACCACUGCACUCCAGCCUGGGCGACAGUGCAAGACUCCAUCUCAAAAAUAAAGAGGAAUUGGAGGAGGAAAUAAAUGAAUAAAUGACAAAGGUGACAAAGGACCAAAGAUCUGUGACUUGUGCAAAGAUUGCUCUGUGUUUGCUGCAGGUCUAGAAGAUGUCACAGAAUUUCAAGGAAGAGAGGUGCUGGAGUACAUUGGCCCAGUCAGAGCUCACUUCAGCUCUUCACCCUGUAGCCCUUAACUCCUGGGCUCAAGUGAUCCUCCACCCUCAGCCUCCCAAGUAUCUAGGAAUACAGGUAUGUGUUACCACACAUAGCUAAUUUUUAAAUUUUUUAUUUUGUGAAGAUAGGAUCUUACUGUGUUGCUAAGGCUGGUCUUGAACUACUGGGCUCAAGCAGUCCUCUUGUUUUGGCUUCCCAAAGUGCUAGGAUUACAGGCAGGAGCCACCAUGCCUGGCAUCAUUAGGGAUAUUGGUCUGUGAUUCACUUUUGAUGAUGUCUUUGGUUUUGAUAAAAAUUAGGGUAAUAGUAGACUCAUGGAAUAAGUUGGGAAAUGUUUUCUGCUCUCCUGUUUUUUGGAAGAGUUGUGAAGGAUUGAUGUUAUUUCUUUAAUGAUUUGGUAGAAUUCAUCAGAGAAAUCAUUUGUGUGGAAUUUUAUUUGUGGAAACUUGAGCACACACACACACACACACACACACACACACACGCAAACUCACAAACACAACACACAGACAGAAAAUGACAAAUAAACACACACACUCACACACACACACACAGGAGCCCACAGAAAAAAGCAAAUAGACGCAGAAACGGGCACGUGCAGUAGUUCUGGCCACACAUGUUCCCUAGGUAUCCACAGAAUGGCAUGGGUAUUGUAUAUUCAUAAAGAUGGAGAUCAGUCAUGGAGGCCAAGGACAAGUAGGUGCACUGGUUGAACUACAGUAGAGAAUGGCAUGGAAGUGGUGAGCAAUGGACCUGGGCCUGUUUCUCAAGUGUGUAUUUGAUUUCUUUACAAUUCCCCGGAGAAGUUGUCAUGGGAGGCCAGCCGCCUGCUGGCAAGGAAGAUGGUUGAUUCUUCUGAUCAAUGGAGGCCCUGCAGAGUCCUGUAGUCACUGUGGCCUGGCAUCCAUGGUGCACCCAAUGCUGGUGGAUGGCUUAGGACGGUGUACGCCUCACCUGAGAGGGCGGCUAGAGACAGUGUCUGCUCAGGACAUCAGAUGUCCCGUGAGGAGGAGUGUGUACUCACACCAGGGGAGUUGACUGAGGCAGUUGCUGUGGGAGGUGUGGUAACUGCUGGAAGGAAGAUGCUCAAUUCUUCUGAGCAACGAAGGCCACACGGAGUCCUGGAUUCUGUGUGGCCUGGCAUCCAUGGCGCACUGUGUGCUGGCAGGUGGCUCAGGACGGUUGGAUGACAAGUUGGCCAGCAGAGGUGUCAGAGGGCAGGUUCCAGGGAAUACAAGGGUCAGACUUGUGCUCCUGGCCCUUGGUCACUUCUCGUCUUCCUGACAGAGUAGUGGGCUCCACUGUUGGGCACAUCUUCCUGGAAGUCGUCUCUUGGCCCGCCAUUGCCGAGCGGCCACACCUGCUGCAGCUCGUGUGAGCAAAUAUGGCUCUGGAUCCUCUUUCCUGCUUUGAAAGCAGCUUCCAUCCUGAAGGCGUCCAGAGGGUAUGGGCAGUUAUCAUGGGACACCCGCCAUAUGCUGGCAAGGAAGAUGGUCAGUUCUUCUGAGCCACAAAGGCCCCCAACAUCCUGGAGUUGGUGUUGCCUAGCAUCCACGGUGCGCCCCCUGCUGGUGGAUGGCUCAGGAUGGGGCAGUUGCCGUGGGAGGCCCGCUGCCUGCUGGAAGGAAGAUGGUCAGUUCUUCUGAACCACAAAGGCCCUGCAGAGUCCUGGAGUCUGUGUGGCCUGGCUUCCAGGGUUCACCUCAUGCUGGUGGAUUGCUCAGGAUGGGUGCCGAAGGUCUUUAAGGUCGUCAGCUCACCUACUGCCCAGCCUGUGGUGUCAAAUGUCCUGCCUCUUCAAAUGUGUUUGGAUCGAUGAUGAGUCCCCCCAAAAAAACAUUCCUUGGAAAAGCUGAACAAAAUGAGUGAAAACUCAUACCGUCGUUCUCAGCGGAACUGAGGUCCAGCGCGUUGCCUCCAGCAGGGACUGUUGGAGUGAGGGAGAGCUUCCACUAGUCCCUAUAGGUUCCACCACCCAGGGCAUCCGCAGGUGUGCACCUCACCUAAGAGGGUGGCCAGAGACAGUGUCUUGUCAUGACAUCAGAAGCCCCAUGAGGAAGAGGAGGAGCCUGUGCUCCUGCCAGAGGUGGUGGCUGUUAGGGACAGUUGCCGUGGGAGGUCCGCUGCCUGCUGUCAAGGAAGAUGGUCGAUGCUUCUGAGAAACAGGCCCUGCGGGUUCCUGGAUUUGGUGUGGCCUGGCAUCCACGGUGCACCCCGUGCUGGCGGGUGGCCCAGGACGGGGCAGUUGCCUUGAGAGGCCCACCGCCUGCUGGCAUGACAGAUGGUCAGUUCUUCCGAGCAGUGGAAUCUCCAUGGAGUCGUGGAGUCGGUGUGGCCUCGCAUCCACAGUGCACCCUGUGCUGGUGGAUGGCUCAGGACACAGCAGUUGUCAUGAGAGGUCUGCCGCUUGCUGGCAAGGAAGAUGGUCAAUUCUUCUGACCAACAGAGGCUGCCUUGAGUCCUGAUUUGGUGUGGCCUGGCAUCUAUGGUGCACCCAAUGCUGGGGCAGUUGCCGUGGGAGGCCUGCCGUCUGCUGAAAGGAAGAUGGUUGAUGCUUCUGAGCAAUGAAGGCCCCAUGGAGUCCUGGAUUCGGUGUGGCCUUGCAUCCGUGGUGCACCCCGUGCUGGUGGAUGGCUCAGGACGGGGCAGUUGCCAUGGGAGGCGCAGGCCUGCUGGAAGGAAGAUGGUCGAUUCUCCCAAGCAACAAAGGCCACGUAGAGUCCUGGUUUCAGUGUGGCCUGGUAUCCACAGUGCACCCCGUGCUGGUGGGUGGCUCAGGACGGUCACACUCAUUUCCUCUGCACCUUCCUGGUGUCAUUGGCAUGGAAGGAAGGCCCUUGUCCAAGAAGGAUGGUCUUCGUCUUGUGUGAUCUUUGAGAUGCCAUGAGGCCCCUGGAUACAAAUGGUGUGGGCUCCUUUGGAGGCUUUUGGAUUUCUCCUGAAUGUGGCGUUGGUAUGGAAGGAAGGCCAGUGACCGCAAGGGAUGACUUUGAUCUUGGGAGAUUUUUGGAGAUGGCAAAGUGCUUCUAAACAUGUUUGGCAUGGUCUCCUUCAGGCUGGUGGAUACCUCAGGAUGGUGGCGUUGGCAUGGAAGGAAGGACUGUGUCUGUGAGGGAUGAUCAUCCUCUCAUGUGAUCCUUGGAGAUGCCAGGAAGCCCCUUGACACAUGUGGCAUGGGCUCCUUCAGAGGCUUUUGGAUCCGUCGUGAAUGUGGCAUGGGCAUGCAAAGAAAGACAGAGGCUGCAAGGGAUAAACUUCAUCUUGGGAGAUCCCUGGAGAUGGCAGGGAACCCAUGGACACAUGUGGCAUGGGCUCCUUUGGGUGCCGGUGGAUCCCUUCAUACGGUGUAAAGCCAGAGUUGGGUAUCAACCAGAUACACUGCAGGGGAUCAGAGGACAUGGCCUUUGUGUACUGCACAUCUGUCAGAUUUUCUCAAGCACACCCGUGUUUCCUCUUCACCUCCCACGUGGAAGUGAUGAAUUGGCCAGGACCAUGUUGGUGAGGGACAAUCAUCAUCUCAUGUUAACCUCAGAGAAGCCAGGAAGCUCCUGGACACACAUGGUGUAGGCUUCCUUGGAGGCUGUUGGAUCUCUCCUGAAUGUGUAGUGUUGGUGUAAAAGGCAAACCCGUGUCAUGAGGGAUGGUCAUCAUCUUGUGUGAUCCUUGGAGAUGGCAGGAAGCCCUGGACAUACAUGGUGUGGGGGCUCCUCCAGAGGCUGUUGGGAUCCUCCUGGAUGUGUGGUGUGGGCAUGGAAGGAAGGCCAGUGGAGACAAUGGAUGAUCUUGUUCUUAGCAGAUCACUGGAUGUGGCAGGGAGUCCUAGGACAUGUGUGGUGUGGGCUUCUUCAGGUGCUGGUGGUGUUGGCAUGAGGAAAGGAGGUAUCUUCGAGGGACAAUCUUCUUCUUGUGCGAUCCUUGGAGAUGCCAUGAGGCCCCUGGACACAUGUGGUGUGGGCUCCUUUGGAGGCUGUUGUAUCCCUUCUGAAUGUGGCGUGGGCAUAGAAGGAAGGCCAGUGGCCACGAGGGACAAUCUUGGUCUUGGGAGAUCCUGGAAAUGAUAGGGAGUCCCUUGAUAUGUGUGGCAUGGGCUCCUUCAGGUGCUAGUGGAUUCCUUAGGAUGGUGUGGUGUUGGCAUGAAAGGCAGGCUUGUAUCAUGAGGAAUGAUUGUCAUCUUGUCUGAUUCUUGGAGAUGGCAGGAAGCCCCUGGAAACACAUGGUGUGGACUCUUUCACAGGCUGUUGAAACCCUCCUGAAUGUAAGUGAUUUCAUUCCAAAGCACCCUGAGUUUCCUCAUUUGCAGGGAUGAAACCUGUGUGUGGAUCGAUGAUGACUUCCAUAUAUACAUUCCUUGGAAAGCUGAACAAAAUGAGUGAAAACUCUAUACUGUCAUCCUCGUCGAACUGAGGUCCAGCACAUUACUCCAACAGGGGCUAGACAGAGAAGGCCAACAUCCGUUUGUUGACAUGGGUUAUAUCAAGGCGUCUGUUCAGGCUUAGAAUGUGGUCUCUUAUGGGUGAUGGGGGUCACAGGAGAGUGGUGGCUCCCAUGUAUAGGAAAUUUCUUGUUUGAAGGACUGUCAGUGAGGGUGGGUAACACAUGCAUUGUCUGCAGGACUAGGUGAAUGUCCAUGUGGCCUAGCAAGAGUUAGCUGGUAGCCCGCCUCUGGUUGCCAAUUUGUUCUUGAGUCCUUGUUCUGGGUUCUCAGGUCCCACGGAGGAAAACAGAUCUGUGUGGUUGAGAGGUGGGUACAAGGCCGCAUCUUUGUCAUUUGUUGGCUAACUUUGUCCUUGGUUGAGGACAUUAGAGUUUUGGUCACCAGGCAUAGCCUAUGUGCCUUUGUGCCCGUGUUGUAUCCCACGUGUUUUGAGGACAUGUAUUUUGCACGUAAAGGUGAGCUCCUGCUCCAAGCUGGUUCUGAUACCAAAGGAGUCCCUGGCUUAUCCUAAACUCAUGGUAGGUUAAAGCCUUCCUCCUUAGGGGUUCAGGGCCGCAAGGCUUUUGUGAGUGGCAUUGCAGGCGUUGAAGCAGUGAUGUUGAGAGGGAUGGUCAAUGUCAGUGCUCUUUAGCAGGAUGGUGUACUGCAGGGGCCCCCAGCCCCGAGACGAGCAUCCCUGCAUCCAUGCAUUUCUGCCUCCAUGAACAGGGGAGGCCAGAGACAGGCAGAUAGUAGAUAAAUUGCAGGGGACUGGAUGACAUGGCCCUCGUGACCUGUGCACCUGUCUGUCUUUCUGAAGCACGCCUGUGUUAACUCUGCACCUCCCAGGUAGCACUGGCAUGGAGGGCAGGCACAUGUUGGUGAGGGACAAUUGUUACCUUGUGUGAGCUGCGGAGAUACCAGGAAGCCCCUGGACACAAAUGGCAAAGGCUCCUUCGGAAGUUGUUGGAUCCCUUCUGAAUGUAAGCACUUCUUUCCCAGAGCACUCUGAGUUUCCUCAUUUGCAGGGACAAAUACUGUGCGUGGAUCGAUGAUGACUUCCACAUAUACAUUCCUUGGAAAGCUGAACAAAAUGAGUGAAAACUCUAUACCGUCAUCCUCGUCGAACUGAGGUCCAGCACAUUACUCCAACAGGGGCUAGACAGAGAGGGCCAACAUCUGUUUUUUGACAUGUGGCCUAGCAAGAGUUAGCUGGUAGCCCGCCUCUGGUUGCCAAUUUGUUCUUGAGUCCUUGUUCUGAGUUCCUGGAAGGAAACAGAUUUGUCUGGUUGGGAGGAGAAUACAAGGCCACAUCUUUGUCGUUUGUUGGCUAACUUUGUCCUUGGUUGAGGACAUUAGAGUUUUGGUCACCAGGCAUAGCCUAUGUGCCUGUGUGCCCGUGUUGUAUCCCAUGUGUUUGGGGGACAUGUACAUUGCAUGAACUAGUGAGCUCCUGCUCAUUGCUUCUGAUACCCAAGGAGUCCCUGGCUUAUCCUAAACCCAAUAUAGGUUAAAGCCUUUCUCAUUAGGGGCCCAGGGUCCCAAGGCUUUUGUGAGUAUCAUUGUAGGUAUUGAAGCAACGAUGUUGAGAAGGAUGCUGAACAUGCUCUUUAGUGGGAUGACGUACUCUGAAGGCUCCUGACCCCCAGAUGAGCAUCCUUGUGUCCGUUAACUUCUGUGUUUAUGAACAGGUGAGGCCAGAGACAGGCAGACAGCAGAUGUAUUGCAGGGAGCUGGAUGACAUGGCCCUUGGAACCUGUGCACAUGCCUGCCUUUCUGAUGCACGUCCAUGUUUUCUCUGCACCUCCCCGGUGGUGUUGGUAUAAAAAGCAGGCUUACAUCAGCAAGGGAUGAUUGUCGUCUCAUGCGAUCCUGGGAGAUGGCAGAAGUCCCGGGACACAUGGAGUGUGGGCUCUUUCGGAGGCUGUUGGAUCCCUCCUGAAUGUGGGCAAGGACUGGAUCGAUGAUGACUUCCAUAUGUACAUUCCUUGGAAAGCUGAACAAAAUGAGUGAAAACUCUAUACCGUCAUCCUCGUCGAACUGAGGUCCAGCAUACUGCUCAUCAGGGGCUAGAGAGAGGGACAACAUCCGUUUGUUGACAAGGGCUGUGUCAACACUUGGGAUGGGGUCGUCUUUGGGUGAAGUGGAGUGUGUUGUGGCCAUGGAAGUAAGGCCAGUGGCUACGAGGGACAGUCUUCAUCUUGGGAGAUCCCUAGAGAGGGCAGGGAGCCCCUUGACAUGUGGAAUGUGAUCUCUGUUGGGUGCUGGUGGAUCCCACAGGGAUAAAGACUGUGCAUGGAUCGAUGAUGACCUCAAUACAUGCAUUCCUUGGAAAGCUGAACAAAAUGAGUGAAAACUCUAUACCGUCGUCCUCGUCAAACUGAGGUCCAGCACGUGGCUCCAACUGGAGCUGGAGAGAGAGAGACAACUUCCAUUGGUUGAUGUGGUCUGGCAUGGAAGAAGGCCAGAGGCUGCGAUGGAUCAUCUUUGUCUUGGGAGAUUCCUGGAGAUGGUGGGGAGCCCCUGGGCACGUGCAGCAUAUGUGGCGUGGGCUUCUUCAGGUGCUGGUGGAUCCCUCAGGAUGGUCUUUUCAAGGUUUUUCUAUGAGUUCUGUUAAAGAGUCUGAAAAUGGAGCGUAGAAGACAUGCUUCGAUUUCCAGGAUGGUUGUGUUUUCCAGAGAGGCGGAGGUAAACCACUGGCGCAGCCCUGCCUCCCACAGAUAAUUCCGGGUGCAGUGUUUCAUAUCUAGACUUGGACUUCUAUCCUACCAUACUUCUUUGUGUGCAGGUGCCAUGUUUUCGCAGGCAGUCUUGCUAUCAGAGCUGAGGGGAUGCUGUUUUGAUCACUUAGUUUAUCUGAUGUUGCUGGGCCUCCAACUGGUGCUGACUGGUACUUCCUGAGAUGGCGAAGGUUUUUCUGUACUCUGAGAUGCCGUGUAUCUCUAUGUAAGGGGAGGAGACUCUGGACCACAGGAAUGAAGAGAACAUCUUAGUUCAUUGUGGAACCAGCACAGAUUUUCAUACGAAAGUUAUUUCUUUUUAACCUCAAAAAGUGACAGAAUGGAGUGUAUCAUGAAAAAGUCUGACAUCAAAACCUCAAAAUGUGAUAUUGAUUGGGUGAGAUAGAAUUCCAUGGAAUUUCAUUGCCAAACCAGUGAAGUGCUAAUUUUGACAUUUGUACCAGCUAACGUAGCUGUGAAGAAACACACCAAUACACUUCUAAGGACAGCAUAGACCAAGAUCUAGGUUUCAUAUGGAUGAAUUUAUUCUUCCCUUUGAGGCAAGACAAGAAGGAAAGAAAGUAUUGGGAAUAAUGCUGCCCUCCCAUCCUCAAGGGCCAGUGGGAACUCUAAUAUUGAUUGGGUGAGAUACAAUUCCAUGGAAUUUUACCACUGAACCAGUGGAGGGCUAAUUUUGUCAUUUGUACCAGUUAACUAACUUGGGAGGAAACAGAACAACACACUCCUGAGGUGGUAAAAUGGAAACUCUGAGAGUUUGGUUGGCGGCAUCUAUAUACCAUAGAAACAGAGCCUGGGAAGCAGAACAGUGAGACCCAAGAGAAAUGUUCCUGCCUAUACUUGAUUGGUUUUCACAGAAUUCCAUGGACUUUAACUGCUGAACCAAUGAUGCACUGAUUUUGUCACUUGUACCAGCUAACGCAUCUGGGAGGCAACAAAACAAUACUCUCCUGAGGUUGUGCUUUGUGUAUUGGAGGUAAUACUGGAAUUGCAUGGAAUUCCUACUGCUGCUCCAGUAACCUGCUGAUUUUGUCACGUGUACCAGAUUCGUUGUCUGGCAAUGAGAACAAUACACUUCAGAGGUGUUAAUGUGGACCAAAAACUAGAUUUCAUAUAAAAGAGUUUAUUCCUUCUACUUGAGGUGUGACAUGAAGGAAAGUAAUGGAAAUAAUUCUGCCCUCCCAUUCUCAAGGGCCAGGGGGAAUUCAAAUAUUGAACGGAAGUGAUUUUGGAAUUGCAUGGAAUUCUCACUGCCAUCCCAAAGAAAUGCUGAUCUUGUCACUCUUACCUGUUUCAUUCCCUGGGGGCAGAACAAAAGGACGCACUCCAAAGAUCGGCAUGAACCAAGAACUGGGUUUCAUAUAAAAUAUUUUAUUCUGUCCUCUUGAGAUGUGACAUGAGAAAAGUAUUGAGAAUACUUCUAUCACCUCAUCUUCAAGAAUCCGUAGGAAUUCUCCCAUGGUGUGGACUUUACGGUUAACCUGAACAGGUCUUGGAAAAAGGACUUUAAACAUUCUCCUGUUCUGUGGAAUAAGUAUACUUUUUUCUGGACAUACACCUUGUCAGUGAGUGUUCCAUGUGAUACUAGAGUUGCAUAGAUUUUUAACCUUUACGCCAAUGAAGAUCUGAGGCAAACAUUGCCCCUUUUUUAGAAGUUUGCAUUUGUCACUGAUAACUGUAAUAAUUGAUCUUGUUGAAAAGCCUGGGAAAUGAAGAUCUGAUAUGUCACUUUUACCGGCUUCCUCAACUGAAAAAGAAUACAAUGAAACACGCUGAGGUAAUUUUUGUGCUUUCUCAGUCUUGCUGAUGAUCUUUCUAUGGGCCUGAAGCGUGGAGAGUGCCAGAGAGGCUGAUCCUCAGCAGUGUGGCAGAGGAAAGUUGGGUGCGACUAAGGGGUAUGCGGUGCCCACAUGCCACUGGGUCCUCAGCAGUACCACCUGGUCAACAAAGACAAGGCACCUAGCCCCACAUGAAACUUUAUUCCUUUCCCUUUUGAGAUGUGACAUGAAAGAAAAUAACAGAAAUGAUUUUUCCAUCCCAUCCUCAGGGACCAGUGGGAAUGAAUUUUACCAUCCCACCCUCAAGGGCCAGGUAUUGGAAGUGAUAUUGGUGGAAGACAACAUUUUGCCGCUUGGAAUUCUCACCUCCACACCAAAGAAGUACUGUUUUUGUCAUUUGCACCAGCUUCUUUCUCCAGGAAAGAUCAAAACGAUGCACUGCAAGGUAGUGUGAUUGGUCCAGAUAGCUGCCUUAUCCAACUGCCUCCUUUGGACCACUUCAUCAUGGGACAGCUUGAUGCAAUCUACUUGACAAGACCCUGGAACCCCACACCCCUCAUGGAACCAGUGUCCACCUCCCAGUCACAGUGUGACCCCAGGGAACUCUUGCCUGCUUGCUUUAAACCCACCACUUAAAAGUCUCCACAGAAAACCUGUUUGAAUAGUACCCUUGACCCAAUAAGGGCAUUGGCCCCUGGGUGUCUCUCUCUCUCUCUCUCUCUCUCUCUCCCUCUCUCUCCCUCUCUCUCUCUCGCUCCCUGACCUCUGCGUGUGGACUCCAGGCAUGCCAUAUACCCCUCAGGACCUGUGACUUGUCAGGAAGCAAAAGAAUGAAUUAAAGAAAACUCCAGAGAAUGAGCUGACAACCUACUCCCUGGUCAGUGGCUCUCCAUGCCUACCUGUGGUCUCUUGGACACCCUUGCAGGUAAGAUGACUUCCUGGGAACUCUUCUGGGAGUGAAUGUUAUCAGCAAAUUCCCAAAACAACACCCCUUAGACAAAAAGCCUCCUCACCUAUGCAUUGCCUAGACCACCCACUAAAGGUGUGAUGGCCACAAAGAGGUGGAUUUGUUGAGUUGGUGCCAUUCCUUCUACUGCCAGCUUCACCAAAACAAUGACACAGUCUUCCUUCCGCAUGGAGACUCUUCUCUUUCCUGUGUUGCAGUGGAUGCCUCCUGCAGAUAAGAAAUGCUUAACUGAGAAAUGCUCAUGUUGGGAUAUCAUCGAUGAGACUUUAAUUUGGGCAUGGUGACUGUUUCCCUUGCUGCCACUUGACUCAAUCCCAGGAGCCUCAGUAGAGGAUAUAAUAUUACACAAGAUGCUCAAAAUGGUGGAAUUGCUCAGUGCUCCCAUAAAUAUACAUUUAUAAUUUUCAUUUGCCACAUGGUAAACUGAAAAAUACAGACUAUAUUAAAAAGAAACUGCAUGAUUUUUUUUCAAAAAUUCAAAGCAUAUUUAAAUAAUAUAUAAAUUAAAUGCCCUCCUCUCUUCCAAUUCUGUCCCUAUAGUUUUCCUCUAUUAAGUGAACUACAUGCAUUCUUUUAGUGGAUAGAUGCACACAAACACACAAGCCAUUAUGGGGAAGGAUCCACGUGUGUGGCCAUAUUGUAACACAUUUUUCUGCAAAUCACCUCUUUCAUUUAACAGCCCUUAUUCAAUGGCCUUUUUCUUUUUCAGUAGUACAUACACAUCUGUGUCAUUUGUUGAAUGACGACAUGAAUGUUUUGUAGAUAAAAUAUAAUUAAAUGUUUUAAGCAUUUCUCACUCAUAGAUAUUUAUGUUAGCACCAAAUUUCUGUGCAAUGAACCUCCCUAUAUAUCAGUAAUUUUGCAUUUGUCUAUAA
rnacentral:lncRNA from 1 species